GGCCAGAUCAUGUUGAAACACUGGUUUCUGUAUGAUCUUCACAGUUAAGUAAUGUUGAGCAUGGUGAGUACCUAGAUGGGUGACCACUUGGAAAUACCUGGUGCUGUA